rnacentral:piRNA from 1 species
UAGUAUGUUUAGGUAUGACCCUCAUGUGU